GAUGAACGCUAGCGAUAGGCUUAACACAUGCAAGUCGAGGGGCAGCAUGGUCUUAGCUUGCUAAGACUGAUGGCGACCGGCGCACGGGUGCGUAACGCGUAUGCAACUUGCCUCACAGAGGGGGAUAACCCGUCGAAAGACGGACUAAUACCGCGUACACUUGGAGGGAGGCAUCUUCCACCAAGGAAAUGAAUUUCGCUGUGAGAUAGGCAUGCGUCCCAUUAGCUAGUUGGUGAGGUAACGGCUCACCAAGGCAACGAUGGGUAGGGGAACUGAGAGGUUGAACCCCCACACUGGUACUGAGACACGGACCAGACUCCUACGGGAGGCAGCAGUGAGGAAUAUUGGUCAAUGGGCGAGAGCCUGAACCAGCCAAGUCGCGUGAAGGAUGACUGUCUUAUGGAUUGUAAACUUCUUUUGUAGGGGAAUAAAGAACGGUACGUGUACCG
rnacentral:rRNA from 1 species